AGAGUUUGAUCAUGGCUCAGGAUGAACGCUGGCGGCGUGCCUAAUACAUGCAAGUCGAACGAGGUGCUUUUGUAGCAAUACGAGAGUAUCCUAGUGGCGAACGGGUGAGUAACGCGUUGGUGACCUACCCCAAAGUGUGGGAUAACAGUCCGAAAGGAUUGCUAAUACCGCAUGUGGUUAUCGAGUUUAGAAAUUGAUAACUAAAGGAGCAAUUCGCUUUGGGAGGGACCUGCGUCCCAUCAGCUAGUUGGUGAGGUAAUGGCUCACCAAGGCUACGACGGGUAGGGGACCUGAGAGGGUGACCCCCCACAAUGGAACUGAAACACGGUCCAUACACCUACGGGUGGCAGCAGUAGGGAAUAUUGCACAAUGGGCGAAAGCCUGAUGCAGCAACGCCGCGUGUGCGAUGAAGGCCUUCGGGUCGUAAAGCACUUUUCUGGGAGAUGAGAAAGGACAGUAUCCCAGGAAUAAGUCUCGGCUAACUACGUGCCAGCAGCCGCGGUAAAACGUAGGAGGCGAGCGUUAUCCGGAUUCACUGGGCGUAAAGCGCGUGCAGGUGGCUUGGUAAGUUAGGCGUGAAAUCUCCCGGCUCAACUGGGAGAGGUCGUCUAAUACUACCGGGCUAGAGAGCAGAAGAGGAAGAUGGAAUUCCCGGUGUAGUGGUGAAAUGCGUAGAUAUCGGGAGGAACACCAGUGGCGAAGGCGAUCUUCUGGUCUGUUUCUGACACUCAGACGCGACAGCUAGGGUAGUAAACGGGAUUAGAGACCCCGGUAAUCCUAGCCGUAAACGAUGUGAACUUGGCGUUGGUGGGUUAAACUCCAUCAGUGCCGUAGCAAACGCGAUAAGUUCACCGCCUGGGGACUACGGCCGCAAGGUUAAACUCAAGGAAUUGACGG
rnacentral:rRNA from 1 species